UCCCGUUAGAUGGAUCUUGCUUGACAAUUUUGGCUAAACCUUCAAAAUCACAUGCACCUUUAGUUUGAUUUGCCAUUUGGUAGUACAUGUUGAAGGCAACCGAGGCAUUCAUGUCAAUACCCAUACCAGAGCAUGAAGCUCCAGGUACCAAGGUUGUGCAAUCAGUACUAUUGCAAGCCCAUGCAACCUUUACAGCCAAAUCCUUUUGGUUAGAAGCAUCUUUGUUAUACACACACCACUGCUUUUCCAUGUAUUUGACAUUUUUUCCACCAACAAGCGACUUGUUCUGUCCUUUCCCUGACAAGUCCAUUGGAAACUUAGGUUGUCCGUCAAAGCUGAAAAUCCCCCAAUGCCUCUCAAACAUUCCAGGAUCAAUACUCUUAAGAUCUUCAUCCAACAAAGAGAACAUAUACACAUCAGGAUACUGCUUCGGGCGAAGUGGAGUUCCUUCAUUUGUUGCCAUUCUCUUUAGCAACCCAUUAUAAAACUUUUUAGCAUUUUUUGUUGUGGCGUAAAUAUUACCAUCAGUUGGCCAUCCAACUUCCCCCACGAUGAUUGGUAUAUCCGAGAAAUUAGCUACUUUAAGUGCCGCGACAAGAGUGUCAAUAUUAGCAUCUAAAACACUACGAUAUUUAACACCAUGAUCAUCCAUAGAGUUUGAGUCAUCGUUAUCAAAGAAGGCAUAAGGUUCAGGGAAUCCAGGAUUUUGGUAAAGAUUUAGGAAAGGAUAGAUAUUGACGAUAAAACCAGCAUCAUUUUUAUGGAGAAAUUCACAUAUUCCAUUCAUGAUAUCUGCCAAGUCAUGUCGAAAUAUUCCAUCCGAUGGUUUGUAAGUUGGUGUGAUGUAUACAUCACCAUUGAGCGGUGUUGAUACUUUGAUAUCUUUUCCAACACCCGCUUCAUUUAGUGCUUUCAGUAUGUUUUUCAUAGCUGGGAGUGUAAGGUUAUUGUACGUACCGUUGUAGGCUGCCAGAAAUGGUUCAUUUCCUACGGCCACGUACCUGUAAAAUAGUUGAAGAUAUUCAAUAAGUACAUCAAUAAUUUAUAUAAUUCAUUUUUAUUGCUUUAACUAAAUUCUCUUUGGUUAAUUAAAACUAUUUUCACCAUCCUAAAGGUAUUAAUGUUUAAUUCAUAAACUUUCAAUUAGGUUCUUCUUCAUAAUAAUUUAGUUUAUACUUUUAAAAAAAUUUACCCAUUAAUCUUAUUUUAUUCUAUUAAUUUUUAAAAUUUUGCAUAUAGUUAGCGUUUUAGAAAAAACUGAGUUAAUACUAAUAUUUUAGUUAACUCUUGUACUUUAACUAAGUAGAAAGUGGAAGAUAAAAUCAUUUCAAAACUUGGAAAUUAUGAACAUAAUAUUUUACAUAAAAUAUUGUAAUAAGAUCAUGGUUUAAAAUUGAUUUUUAUUUGUAACAAGAGAAACUUACUUGAAGUUGACACCCUUUUUACCCAUAUAUGCAGUGAUAUUUGCUUUCACCCAAGCUUGUGCUACACUAUAUUUCUCAGAAAGACUUUCCAAAGAAUGAUUGGGGAUCCCCACCAUGACCUCAAUAUCGGUUCCAGACAGGGCAGUUAGAAUGUCAUGCUCAGCAUGGAAAAGCUUAACCUUUUUUAUGCCAUUAUCUUUUAAUAUAUUAACGACAAUCUUAGGGUCUAAAGGAUGUGAUGCUAUGACACCCCAGUUGACACCAAGGCCUUGCGCUACAACACUAGCAGGGAAAAAUAUCAAUAUAUAUGCCCAUAAGAAGACCUGAGCUCGAAGCAUUGUGGGAGCUGGUUCAAAGAAGGGUUCAACUUGUUAAGUUAGAAGAAGGAAAACUAUGGUUUUUCUUUGUUUAAGCAAGAAGUGAAACUAUGGGUUUUGUUUUCUUCUUUUUUUUAUUUCUUUAAAAUGUCUUUAACUCAUUGGGAAAUGGAAAAACUUAAGACUAAUAAGGGUUAUUACAUAGGGGUAAUUGGUGCAGAAUUCUUGGCUGUACGAGAAAUUAGAGAAGAGACUAGCAUUUCUUGGUGAUUUUUAGUUGGAAGUUGUCAUACAAACAACUACGUAGAUGCCGUUGGUAUCUUGAAUGCUUUUCUAUUUUUAGUUUUGUUUGAUAAUAUGCACAAAAAUAGAAUGUUUUAUAUUAAAAUGUUUAUCAAAAAAUCUAUCAACCGUACAGCACAAAAUUAAUGAUGGAAAGCAUAUUUUAUUUAUCUUUUCUUAUGUAUACACUAUUUUUCUUUGCUUUUUGCACAAAUUUUAAGAAAUUUUUAUUUAAUCUUUUCUUUUAUUAACCAUGAAAUACUUUUACUCAAAUUAUUUUUAUUUUGAAAUAAAAAUGUUGUAAUUAUAAUUAAGGAUAGUGAAAAAGUUGUCACUGAUUAUCCAUUUUAAUUAACUUUGGAUAUGAAUUUUAUCAAAUUUGACAAUUUAAUUGAUUUUUUUUGUAGGAACAGUUAUUGUUCAAUGCGUAGGGAAACAAGCAUAUAUGUGUGUUGCAUGAGAGCUUGAUUUCACAUAUAAGAGUUUGAUCUAGCUUUAGGUUGAUUUUUGGAGCCAUAAGAUUCAAAUUGUAUGUAAAGCCCUUACUCUAGUAUUUGUUAUUUUUCCAAUUUAGGAGAUAGACACUAUGGUCUCAUAAAGUUGUAUUGGUAUUAAGUCAAAAAGAAUUCAUUGGUUUGAUUUUGAUAGGCAUACACUUGGAAGAAUCAAUAUGAUCAUCUACCGUAAUCAUUCUACAGAAGAACACAUUGGCUUGUCCAAUUAAGUGUUUGGUUGGAUCCGUCAAGGGAAACAAAAAUCAUAUUUAAACAACCUGCAGGACUGAGGUCAUUGGUUCAAGUUGGGCCCUUCUAGUUCACAAAGCUACCAAUAAGUUAAAUCAUAGACUCAUACUUCGCGGUUAUUCAUUCAAUAAGGGUUAGUUGUUGGGUGUUACCGCAAUUAAUUUACACAUAGAAGGGUUGGUGGUCUGAGGCAUCCUUGAUCACUAUAAUUGACUUGUCAGUUUGGAGGAGAAAAUUUAUUGUCCAGGAUCAGUCCGAAAUCAGAGCAUGAAGCUAGAUCAUCGUCACAUCGGUUUAUUUAGUUUUAAUUUAUUUUUAGUUUAUUUUACUGCAAUUCUAAUUUCUAUUUCUUUCUGUUAUCUUUAUUUUUUUUAAUUGGAUUUAAACCCAUUUUUAUUUUUGCACAAAUCAUCACGCGCCGUGGGCACUAUAGUUGCCUAGCGCGCAACUUGGUUAAAUUAAACUAUACUACUAUGUAUAUAUUAUUUAGGUCUAGGAAUUUAUUUUUCAUGGAUUCGAGACCCAUCAUGUAACGACCCGAUUUUCAAUAGUGGCAAAAAAUGCAAUUUUGGAACCCCAUUUCCGUAAACCUAGUCCGUAAGGAUGAAAUAUAAAGAUUAAUGAAGUUAGUAUGAAAAUAUAUUGAAGUUCGGUUAAGUAAAUCAUGAAAUUAGUUAAUUAAAGCUCAGGAACUCAAUUGUAAAAGCUCAAUUGCUAUUGAGUUUUGAAUUAGAAAAGGCUUGAGGGCCUAGAUAGCAAUUAUUUAAAGGGCUUAAAUGAUUAAUUAACCAUUAUUCAACAUGAACUACAAUUAACACAAUUAAGCUCAAAACCAAACUAGCCAAAUUUUUAUUUAUUCAUCUACAACCUAAUAUGAUUGAAAUUUCACAAGAAUUUCACCUUAAGUUCAUUGUCUUAUCAUUUUUGUAACAACCCGGUUUUGACCCUAAUCGAAAUAGUGGUUUUGGGACCACAAAUCCGAAUUAAAAAAAUAUUAUUAAUAUUAUUUUGUGUGUUUAUUUCGUGUGCAUUUGAUUGUGUGAAAUUUUCAUGUUUUAAUUUCGUCGUUUAAGUGUCCGAUUUAAUAAAAGGGUUUAAUCGCGUAAAAUAAAAGUUAGAGGUUAAAAUUUAAAAGCACCUAUUUGUAGUUGUCUUUUUAAGUGGGAGGUCUAAAGAUGUAAUUAGACCAAGAUUUAGUUAGUGGGUGGUAUAUGCCAACAUUGCCCUUAAGUUAUGUAAUUUAUAAUUUAUUUAAUUAAGGUUAAUUUAGUCAUUAAGUAAAUUAUAAUAUUAUAACUAAAAUAAGUCAUAAAAAGAUGAAUAUGUUCAUCUUUGUUAGCCGAAUAUUGAAUUAAGGUCAUAUUUACACAAACCAAAUAGUAAAAAUACCUACACAAAAUUGAAAGAUAAGUAGGGGAGAAUGAAAGGGAGAGGAAGAGGGAGAAGGAGAGUGAGUUUGAAAGGGAGAGUGAGAUGUUGAAGAGCUAGGGGUGGAAGACCUUGAUGAUUUAGGAGCAGACGCAUUGGAAUUGGAUGUAGUUUGGAUAGUUUUAAUCAUAAUCGGGAAUCGACAUGUCCCGUUAGAUGGAUCUUGCUUGACAAUUUUGGCUAAACCUUCAAAAUCACAUGCACCUUUAGUUUGAUUUGCCAUUUGGUAGUACAUGUUGAAGGCAACCGAGGCAUUCAUGUCAAUACCCAUACCAGAGCAUGAAGCUCCAGGUACCAAGGUUGUGCAAUCAGUACUAUUGCAAGCCCAUGCAACCUUUACAGCCAAAUCCUUUUGGUUAGAAGCAUCUUUGUUAUACACACACCACUGCUUUUCCAUGUAUUUGACAUUUUUUCCACCAACAAGCGACUUGUUCUGUC
rnacentral:lncRNA from 1 species